rnacentral:rRNA from 1 species
GACGAACGCUGGCGGCGUGCCUAACACAUGCAAGUCGAGCGAAGUUUUCAAAGUAGAUUUCUUCGGAUUGAAACUUUGAUUAUCUUAGCGGCGGACGGGUGAGUAACGCGUGAGAAACCUGCCUUUCACAAAGGGAUAGCCUCGGGAAACUGGGAUUAAUACCUUAUGAUACUGAUUUUUCGCAUGGAAGAUUAGUCAAAGCGCAAAGCGGUGAAAGAUGGUCUCGCGUCCCAUUAGUUAGUUGGUGAGGUAACGGCUCACCAAGACCGCGAUGGGUAGCCGGCCUGAGAGGGUGAACGGCCACACUGGAACUGAGACACGGUCCAGACUCCUACGGGAGGCAGCAGUGGGGAAUAUUGCACAAAUGGAGGAAACUCUGAUGCAGCGACGCCGCGUGAACGAUGAAGGCUUUCGGGUCGUAAAGUUCUGUCCUAAGGGACGAGUAAUAGACGGUACCGUUAGGAGGAAGCCCCGGCCUAACUACGUG